UGCUUGUUGUCAAAGCGCUUGGGAUUGAAGAGACUGUUGGCUACAAUUGACUGUGACAAUUAGGAGAUGAUCAGAGCCCUAGAGUGGAGCACUUAAAGGGAGAAUGAUGGUGUUGUCACUCUCUCCAGGAUGCUAUAAAUGGGAGAUGGUGGCUUUUGCCCUCUCUCUUUUCACUAAACUUGCUGAACAUCACAAUAUUUGUAUAUGUUUAUCUCUGUAACCAAUGUAAAGAGCAAACAGGGAUGAAUAAAAUAUGAGGAGUAAACAGUGUGACAGGGCAGGUCUGGAAUGACUUUGGCUUCGUAUGGGUCUGCAGAACUGAGGCAGUGGUAAACCUGUAUUAAAAAUAAAUAAAAUAUCUGCUGUAGCAGGAGGUCCUUGUCUCCCAGGUCUGCAUUUAAAGCAGUUUCAGAGGAUUAACUGUAUAAAAUUCUAGUAACUGAGAAACCUCUUGCUGGAAAAGUAAUGGAUGAAGACGUGAAUCAUUCUGGGUUCCCCAUACUUUACCAUGAAGUUAAUUUUUUUGAAACAAGAAGGAAGAAGAAAGUUUUACUCGUUGACAGUGUAUUUUGAAAAAACCUGCAUUUUCAGGGUGUAGGAUAAAAAAAAAAAAGUCUUCCUAAGACUUCUGGAAUGU